ensembl:lncRNA
GCCAUGCACGCCUCCAACUCAAUCAUCAAGUUUGCAGACGACACUACAGUGGUAGGCUUGAUUACCAACAACGACCAACAACGAUGAGACGGCCUACAGGGAGGAGAUGCACGGUCGAGGGUUCUUGCAGACAAUGAGAAAUACAUUUGGACAGGAGUUUAUGUUGACCUGAUGAGCGAUGAGGAGGAUGGCCUUCAAUACGGCAAACCAGUGUGGUUCAUCAAGGCCCCUUGCUUCCGGAGUAAGAUGCUCACUCUAAACUACAGUUCCGCUUGGAGAGGGACCAGAGCUACUUGGCGAGCCACAAGGAUCAUGUCUGGGGAGUUUGUCAAAGCAACCUAGAUCCCAUGGACCUCUCAACCCUCAACACUAUAGCACCACAGUAACUCCAAUGGAGGCUCAAGCUGGAUGACUGCUGUCAGUACAGUGCUUGAUUCUUUUGAAAACAUUUUAAAUAGGCUCGUUCAUAUUUCUUUCAUCUGGUGCUUACCUGUUUACACCCAUUUAAGCAGGUAAGCACCACAGUCGAAAUUUAAAGAUGAAUGAACGUUAAAAAAAUUAUAAUAAUCAAGCAGAGUACUGGCAAGAGUCAUUCAGUUUGGCCCAGGUCGAGGCUUCACGGGCCCUGCUUACACUAAAUGCAGAUACUAUUAACCACUUUCUCCUGCUCUACUGAAAUUAAUUAUCAUCCUUCAAGAAGUGAUUAAGUGGAUUUGUGUGUUUUAUUCAAGGAACUAAGACAUGUUUAGCGAUAGCAUAAUAUAGUAUAGUAUAGGGAUGUUUUGAGGUGCUGGGAAAACCUUGAUAGUGGUGCUAAACAUUUUUUUAUGAAAAGGUGUAGGAACCCUGAUGUGUAAUAUUAAUAACAUAACCAAAAAAGUAUUACAUAAUUUAUUAAUGUAUUCAUAAUUCAUUGUAAUUCAUUAUUUUAAUAAUGAAUUGUUGUUAAUAUACUAGUGACAGCCACUAAGGCAAGCUAGCAAUGACAAACAUUAGCAUUCAGUGGUGGCGAAUAAGCAUGUGCAGCCUUGAGCAAGUGCACGGCCAUUUACUGACAUUAAUGGGAGAGACAUGGGCAGAUGUGGACGGAGAUGUCUCAUGGUACAUGGUUGGAUGUGUGUGGUCGGUCAGGGGAUUUACUGAACCGUUUCAGGACAUAUAUUGUACACGCCUGUGCACAUCCGCACACAAAAGUGGUCUGUUGUCAGAGAUAUAAGUGACGUGUGCAGGGCCAUUCACGGUGGACACUUGCCUGCAAAUUUCCAGAAACUGUAUAUUUCUGGAAUUGUGCACUGGAGUGUUCGCCCCGUAAAUGUGCCUCUUAUUGCAAUGCCAGUUGUUGGGG